UUCUACUGUUUCCCGCUCAUUCAUAGCGUAAUUUCACACGAUUUCGUUCUGCAAUGGCGAGAUUUCUCCGGCGUACGUUCACAGUCUAUCCGAUCUUCACAGGUUUCUUUGACGAGGUUUUCUUCUUCGUCGAAAUCAAACCCGAUCAAAUAGGCAGAGUCUAGAAUUCGCCAGGAACUUCGUCGUCGCAGAAAGCAGACACGAGGAAUAGAGCAUACCAUUCUCAUCCUCACCCACUCACCCCCCUCAAGUUGGACAGGCUAGGAGAGAUCCCCAACUUUCCUAGAACGUUGUGGUGAGAUGGCCCAGAUAGGGCUUUGGGGAAGGGAUCAGCGACCUGAGAAGAAGCCGGAACAUAAGACAGAGAAAUCAGGUGUGCGAGGAAUUGUUUUGUGUACGAAGUGGCUAUUGGAGUAAACCAGAAUCGGGAGCUCUGGCGGAGAUCCCCAUAUCAGCAAGAAGACAAUUGAGCCAUGUUAUAUCAGCCACGACUCUUCUCAUGGAGCGAUACUCAGCUCCCGCAGAGGAUAAGGAAAUGGAGACCUGUUCUUUUUGGUUCCUAGAAACAGGUGAGCCUCCAAGUGUGAUAAAAAAUCAACUGUCUGAUCGACGCCCCAAUUUGACAGAAAGAUCACUAGUCAGAAACAGACCUUGACUGGGAUUGUUACUGAGGUAUUGAAGAACUCGCAGUGCAGCUGAAAAAUGAGAUGUCCAGGGAUCCUGUAUAUACUGAGAGAUGUUGCACCGCAUAUCAAAUAUUUGGUUGACUAUGAGUGUGGAUCAAGAGGUGAAGAAACAAGUGGCAGAUGAGAGCAAUCAUAUUCAGAAAGAAGCUCCAAAGUGUACUUCUGUCGAGUAAUAAUGAGACCAUCAGGCUCCUUUAAAAUCUCAAGUCCCAAAAAAAUAAUGUGGGAAAAUCCAUUGAUUGGAUGGACAUCCACAGGAGACCCUUUAUUAUCCAUUGGUGAGGCAGGGUUAUCGUUUGAUAUUGUAGAUGCAACAAAGACAUGCUGAGAAACAUGGUUGGAGUACACUGUAUGACUGCACGCAUCACCAUAGAAUCCCUUCUAUCAUUCAAGCUUCUAAAAUGAAUGGAUGAGCACUUCUGGAUCAUCAACAGUGAGUUAUCUAAUGGUCACUCAAGCUUCUAAGAUACAUGGUAUGGAUGGUUAAAUAGAAGUAAGAUCUGUCACUUUUCUCUUGAUUUGUAUGUCAAGAAGUUUCAUACACCACUAUUGACGGUACAAAUCCAAGUCUCCCAUCAAACCAUAUAUAUGUUCUUUAAUGGUAUGAAUCGAGACUCCCUUCAACCAAUAUUUGUUAUUGAAGUGGAGUUUUAUAGUUAUCGCUUGCAUCUAGCUAGUUGACCAUUUAUUGGAUACGGUGAAUUUAUGUCUUGAUCAUAGACAACUCUAUUUCUGGCUAGAGACAAAUCAUAUGCAGACAGUUUCAAAUGGAAGGGGUCCCACCAAAGUGAGGGACAUCAAUUCUAUUUCUGGCUAGAGCCAAAAUCAUAUCCAGACAACUUGAAAAAUCAAAUUCAAGUUCAAAUGGACGUGUCCUACCAAAGUGCAAGGGAGAUAUUUUGGGAGACUAAAAUAGAUAUUUCGUGCCACCGUUGCCUUCAAGAGAUGCUAGAAACUUCUGCCAGAUGGAGAUACUUUUAUCAUUGGAAUUCUAACAUGUAUUCAGCCAAUAAUAUUCGUUGCCAUCAUAUAAUCAUUCUCCAAUAAGAGAAGCAUAUUACAUUAACUAGGCAUUCAAAACUUUA